UACGAAGGGGGCUAGCGUUGCUCGGAAUUACUGGGCGUAAAGGGAGCGUAGGCGGAUAGUUUAGUCAGAGGUGAAAGCCCAGGGCUCAACCCUGGAAUUGCCUUCGAUACUGGAGAUCUUGAGACCGGAAGAGGUAAGUGGAACUGCGAGUGUAGAGGUGAAAUUCGUAGAUAUUCGCAAGAACACCAGUGGCGAAGGCGGCUUACUGGUCCGGUUCUGACGCUGAGGCGCGAAAGCGUGGGGAGCAAACAGG
rnacentral:rRNA from 1 species